CAAGCUUCUAUGAUCAUUCACCACAAGGACCUCACACAAAUUUAGUUUGAUUCAUAUAUUUUCUUCUUCUUUGUCACUAUCAGAUUUCAUGUAUUCGAUGUUGAUACCACACAUCACAAUGUACCAGUGAAGACAAUCAAGUUAUCGGAUCAGGAUUUUCUUGGAGAAGCUAGCUGUGUGUUAUCAGAGCAAACUUCAAACAUCAGUUUCAGCCUUAGAAAAUAUGCACAGAGACAAGACUGGCAUCAGCUUUGUUAAGCAACACCAUGGUCGUGAAAAGCUUCAAAUGGAAAUCCUAGAAGUCCAGAAUCUUUGCACUAUAUUGACCCCUCUGGCAGAUUGAACGCAUAUCAGCAAGUCUAUACUACAGGAAUGCGCCUUAUGCUAGUGAGGAAAUUGAUGUGGUUCGUG